AACGAACGCUGGCGGCGUGCCUAACACAUGCAAGUCGAACGAGAAAGGGGCUUCGGCUCCGAGUAAAGUGGCGCACGGGUGAGUAACACGUGGGUAACCUGCCUCUAAGAUUGGGAUAACUCGUCGAAAGAUGAGCUAAUACCGAAUAAGACCACAGUUCCCGCGGGAACAGGGGUCAAAGGUAGCCUCUGCUUGCAAGCUAUCACUUAGAGAUGGGCCUGCGCACCAUUAGCUAGUUGGUAGGGUAACGGCCUACCAAGGCAAAGAUGGUUAGCUGGUCUGAGGGGAUGAUCAGCCACACUGGAACUGAGACACGGGCCAGACUCCUACGGGAGGCAGCAGUGGGGAAUAUUGCGCAAUGGGCGAAAGCUUGACGCAGCAACGCCGCGUGAGUGAUGAAGGCCUUCGGGUCGUAAAGCUCUGUCGGGAGGAACGAAUGCUCCUGAGGUUAACAGCCUCGGGAGGUGACGGUACCUUCAAAGGAAGCACCGGCUAACUCUGUG
rnacentral:rRNA from 1 species